rnacentral:rRNA from 1 species
CCUACGGGAGGCAGCAGUGAGGAAUAUUGGUCAAUGGACGAGAGUCUGAACCAGCCAAGUAGCGUGAAGGAUGACUGCCCUAUGGGUUGUAAACUUCUUUUAUAUGGGAAUAAAAUGUUCCACGUGUGGGAUUUUGUAUGUACCAUAUGAAUAAGGAUCGGCUAACUCCGUGCCAGCAGCCGCGGUAAUACGGAGGAUCCGAGCGUUAUCCGGAUUUAUUGGGUUUAAAGGGAGCGUAGGUGGAUUGUUAAGUCAGUUGUGAAAGUUUGCGGCUCAACCGUAAAAUUGCAGUUGAAACUGGCAGUCUUGAGUGCAGUAGAGGUGGGAGGAAUUCGUGGUGUAGCGGUGAAAUGCUUAGAUAUCACGAAGAACUCCGAUUGCGAAGGCAGUUCACUGGACUGCAACUGACUCUGAGGCUCGAAAGUGUGGGUAUCAAACAGGAUUAGAUACCCUUGUAGUC